AUGCUCACUUCAGCAACAUAUACACUAAAAUUGGAGUGAUACAGAGAAGAUUAGCACGGCCCCCGAACAAGGCUGGCAUGCAAAUUCAUUAAGUGUUUCAUAAUUUA
rnacentral:snRNA from 1 species